CUGGAUGAAGAUGGCUCCAGAGAAGAUGUCAGUCUGCAAAGAGCCAGGACCCAGAAGUCCAGGUCACCCAAGCCCCUCCAUGUGGCCACCAGGGUACUGCGGCAUUGUGACCACACCGGCUGCGAUGUACACAGGGACGAAGAUCCAGCCGAGGGCCAGAAGCAGCCAGGUUGCCUGCGAGAGUGGGGAAAAGAAGCCUCAGAUUCUCCGCCUAGAAUAUGUGGGGCUCACCUGCUCCCACUUCCUGUUCUGGAGGAGCCGGGCAACGGAAAGCAAGGAGAAACAAAGUACUGAGACGGUCAGAGAAGAGGCGGCCACGCAUCCUGAAGGCACAGAGAUGACGCCAGCCUGACAUGCUCGUCACUGAGGCCUUUGGCCCCCGCCGUCCCCUAACCCCACUUAUGCCUGCACACACAUACUCCCUCAGGUGGUCUUGGGGAUGCUUCUGGGCUGGACUGGACCACCUAGUCAGAGCAGAGAGGAAGCAGAGGAAGGAGAAGGCUCCCCUAGGCUCCCCGGAGCGUAGAGUGCCUCAGCCGCACCAGCCCAGGCUCCCAGCUCAUCACAGGGUCAUGCAGGCUUCUCUGGACCUGGAACACUGCCGUUCCUUCUGCUCUGCCUUCCCAGCCACACACUCUCCUUGGGCAGGGCCCAGGGAGGGGAAGGAGGCACGUCUCAGGACUGGCCGAGUAGGGAAGGGCACAAAGUUAUUGGACUUCGUCGCAGACACCCAGACACACCAGCUCCAGUAUGGCAGAUGCGACGGAGCUCCCCUACCCAGAGCUGGGUCUGCUCCUGGCCUCCGGGGAUGCCUGCUCUCAGGGAAGAGCUCAGCUCACAGCCCUGUCCACCUCGGGAGAGACACCAAACCCUCCUUCCCACGGGAUGCACGGCUCCACACCCACCCAUCUUUGGGGCACCCUCCUCCCGAAAUGAGGCCUCGGCUUUUCCUCACACCUGCAGAGACAGACCACUGCUCUCCACUGGACUGAAGGAGCAGCCAGGCCUGCCUAAGUCACUCUCCUGAAUGGACCCGAGGAGAUGUGCUCUGUCCUGCUUCUUGUCCCUCCUGCUGACUUGUCUCCAGGGCUGUGAUUUAGGGAGGGGGCCACCAGCUCAGCAGAACAGAUUCCAGGGGGCUUGCUUUCUUUGUUGAGAGGGUGGCUGGCAGCACCAGUGACCCUGUCACUGUCCCUGUGAGCUGCCAGGCCCUCAGCCCCCCACAUCCCUGAGGAAUCUAUCAUGCUGAGAGCACAAGAGCUCCCUGUCCCCAUCUCGUCCUGUCCCAGAAACCCAAGCCUUCCAGGGAGCUCUGGGGGCCCCUGGGUUUCCUCCACUAGUGAGUCUGUCACCAGGGGCAGGCAGGGAAGGCGGUGAGAAGUAAGAUGGCGUGUGAAGGUGGUUGGUGGUGUGUGUGCAAGUGUGUGAGUGCAUGCAUGCACGGGCCAUGUGUGUGAGUUGUGCCUGCCCAAGCGUGUGUACAGCAGCAGCUACCGCAGGAGCCGACAACUCCACUGUUAGUUUUUGAGGCAGGGCUUACGUCCCUCCAUCCUGUUUCAGGAAGGGGAAGUUGGUUUUGAGGACCAGGAGGAAUGUGUAGGGUGGUGCGAUGGCCACCAAGGCCUCAGGAUCGGGGCUGAGGUUGUUGGGGACUUCACCUCUGUGAUCGCCCACAUGUGACUGCUCUUCAGGACUAAGCUGAUGUGUCACUUUCCCAGGAAAAUCUUUGCUGAUCCCACUUCCACCAUCUGGAUCUCAGGGGCUUCCCACAAAUGCCCACAAGCCCCCGUGCUGCCCUCCAGCUCAGCAGGGAUCAUGUUGUUUAUGAGUCCGUCUGCCCAGCUCAACUCUGAUCUUCUCCAGGACAGGAACAUCCUAAAUUUUCUCGGAGAUGAGACGGGACUUGGAUGCUGAGAGGCGGGGAAGGAGGACGGUCAACUCACUGGCCACCAGCUCAUGGAUCUCCCUGCCAGGAAAUAGCCGCCAAUGGUCCCUCGGCUCGCACGGUAGGACGACUGGAAAAGAAGUGACCAGAGCAUAGGAAACCGAGACCUGGGAGGAGGCAUGGUUUUCUCCAAGCCACAGAGCAGGGCCAGAAUUCACAUCCUCUGGCUACACGCUUCUGCUCUGUGCUGUGACAAAUGGACGCUCCUGUAAAGGAUGCAGAGUGCCCUGGGUCCAGGCAAGAGCAUCUGCCCCAGGACCAGGCAGCCUGCUUUCUAGUCCCAGCUGCUCGUCUCACUGAACUGCAGAGUGACCGUGGGCGGGAUGCUAAGUGACUCUGAGCCUGGGUGCCCUCAUUGCUGUGGCCUGUGUCUGGCCCCCACACCAUGUCACUGAGGUUGGGAUGAGUCGGGAUGUGCUCCUGGGACCCUCUGCAAACUAUGAGUGACUGUAUGCUCUUGGGGUCAACACAGAGAAACAGACACUGACCACCAUCCGGCCAAGGGGCCCAAACGCCAGGCCUACAGACGCGUCCACUCUCACCGUCCUUCUGAAGUGGCUGAAGCUGGGACAUUUCAGUCUUGCGAGUAUCUGCUCUCCAUCCCACUGCACUCACAGGCCGGGGCCCAGGCUGGAGCAGCAGGCAAGCGGGCCCUGCUCACUGCCCCGUCCCCAGCAUCCUAUGAGGAUCCCAGGCCUGGGUGUGGGAGCCAGGCCCUCUUCCCUCCCCUUUUGGGGAAAGGGAAGUGAAAUUUGGCCCUGGGCCUCCUCUCCUCUGGCCCCCUGGUACCCUGGCCCAGAACAUCAGGCACAGGCUGUGCUGAGCCUGAGGAGGGGGCAUGGUGCUAGGAGGAAGGCCAGGGUAGCCCCCAGCUGGGUCAGUGCCCAUUAGCGUUAGAGGCUGGAAGGGCAGAGAUGUAGCCCACUGUCCUCACAGAGGAAGGGCCCUUCCCACUCAUAUUUAAAGGUGAGUGAGAGCUUCUCAGGUCACCAAGAGGGGCAAGGGAAGUGAGACUGGCAUCGGCAACAUCAGGAAAAUGGGAAGGACCAGGCGCCUGAGAUGACAGGCCCCUCAUUCUCCUGGGGGAGCUGCGUGGAGGUGCGGCAGUGAGGCUAGGAGAGAGGGAAAGGUCUGAGCUCAGGCCGCAGUGGGUACCACGGCAAGGGCCCUGGCCCAACCACUCUUCCAGAGAAGGGAGGCUGAGUGUAGUGGGAGACAACCUGGCCUUGCACUUCCUCCUGCCCCCACCUGCAGAGCCCACAGGCCCUGACCCACCCCAUCCUCACAACUGCCCAGGCUGAGCCAACCCCUGCAGCUUGCCUAACCCUAAGCCAGCAGGUUUGGGCUCACCUCAGCCACUCCUCCCUGCGUCUGAUACCCAUCUGUUAGCCAACCAGGCAAGUUAGCAAUCCAGAGCACAGAGAGGGCCAGGAAGGGAGCAAAAGAGGCUUUGAAACAGCCAGAACAGAUAUGGUAAAGCCUGUGCCCACUGACGUCUCAGGGAGCCCUGAGCCCCCUACUCAGAUCCUGUCUAUUUCUGCUUUAGUAUUUGUGCUCCAGCUCCCAACAAAUUAGAGACAACAACUGAGCAGUGGGAGCGAGGCUGCCGGAGGCGGGCAGGGCUGUGCAGGGCACGGGGAGGCAUGGCUGCUGAUGCCAGUGGCACGCGAGACGUCGUUAAAUCCAGAAAAGCAGAAAGGACGACACAAAGGACAGCCCAAAUUGGGGUGAACAGACCUAUAAAACAGGGUUCAUCCACUCCCUCCAAGCUCAUCCUUGGACAGCAGCUGAGGAUUCAAAUGCGUUUUGAUGAUGGAGUCACUGAGGGAAGAUUGCAGUGUGACCAUGGCAGAUUUUCUCUGGAGAAGGCAUGGAUUACAAAAUCCUGGCAGGAAGAGUGUCAUUCAAAAUGGUGGCACGUUUUGGGCAGGUGUUUGGCAUUCAAGGAUGAGGCCUCAUUUAUCCAGGAAAUCUUCUCAGAGAUCCCCCGAGACUGAGGCUGUAGCCGUGUUUUCACUCUCUCAGGAGGCGAGCACCGCUGGUGCCCCUGGCUCUGCGAGGCCCUGAGACACCAGCAUGUGGACAAUGGCUCCCAGCCCAGCGGGAGGACACAUGGCCACCCAGCACGGGCGCCUCCUGCACAAAGCAGGUCAACAUCCAUCCACCCCUCUCCUUCAGCGAGGAGUUCAGUGGAAGGAGCAACAAAGUCCAGCUGGGGAGCUUGGGCAGGGUUUCUGAGGAAGGGAGGUGGUUCGAGUCAGUCUUAAAAAAAUACAGAAGUGUAAUAGGCCAAUAAAAUGGAAGUUUCUAUUGAGGUAUCAAGAUACCAUAUGCAUAAAAAUUGGAAAAUGAGGGGCAGAUCUGCAAAGGAAAUACUAAGAGCUGGAUUGCUGAUUCUAAGGGCUCUAGGAGGUGGAUAUAAAAGGAUUUUGUGAGUGUUUCUUUGGACAAAUCCCUGUUGUGUUUUCCCAGCAGGAAGGGGAGAGGGCGUGGAGCUUCCUGCCCCCUCCCCCAGGUAGUUUUGGGUAGAGGGGCUUUGACAGGGGAACCUGGAAGGCUUGGUAAGCGUCCCCCUCAGUUGGGGUCAUGGGGAGGGGUCUGCCUCGGCCUGAAGUGUGUAGACGGUGGGAGCCCGUGGCUGACUCUCUGCUCAGCCGUGGGAGUGGAUGGGAGCUGCUGGCUUGGGGCUGGCCUGCACCCUGGGGUUGGGCAAAGAAUGUAUGGAUGUUUUGUGUGUGUGUGGACUAGACGUGAGAACGUUUUUAAUAGACUGCGUUGGAGUGAGGGGGUGGGCAGGGGCAGAGGCAGACAGGUACUCCAGGCAGAGGGAACAGGAGGAACAGAGAGGCGUGUAAGCAGGUGGAAUGCAUUCAGGGAAUGGCUUGUGGGGGCGGAGGGCAGGGUGGGGGCCAGCUGGAGCCUAGAGUCUGGAGGGAGCAUGGGGGAGGGAGCGUGAGAAGUGGGCGGAGAAACUGGCAUUUUAGAAAACCCCUCUUGGGACCGGCCUGGGGCUGGGUGAGACUGAGGAAGCCAGCACAGCAGUUCAGGCCGAGACAGGCACCUAGCUGGAAGGAUGGGGAGGAGAGGGUCCUGCAGACCUUUGCGGCUUCCUCCACACUGGGGUCCCUGCCCGGAACAUGGUGCCAGGGUCCAGACCCUCAAUGUCAAGUGCCCCGACCCCUUGGUGGUCCUUCCCCUCAGCUCCCAGUACCUGCAAGCGCUCAUCCCGUUGCAGAGCCAGAGUGAGAAGUAGCCUCAGGUUUGUUCCGGUCCCAAAGGGACUGACAUUGUAACCAGGGUAGGGAGGGAGGGAAGCCUUCAGCCAGGGAAGGAAACACUAACGGUGACAUCUUGAGCCUGGGACAUGGAGCGCUGAGGACACAGAACAGCCCUUGGGCCCUGGAGUCUAGGAGUCCACGCUGUGGAGUUGGAAUUGUCCCCGUGGAAGGAAAUCCCGUCUCACGCUGCCCGCAGCCGGUGUGUUCCUCUGUCUCCUUCUCGCCCUCCCAGCCCCAGGGAGAAGCCAGGCAGGUUCCUUGCUCCUCUGCUCAGCUCACCCUGGCAGCUCACAAGUCCUUCCUGAGAAACCACUCCUGGCCAGCCUUUCUGCUGGGAGCUCCUCUUCCAGGGCACGAUGGGUCAGGGCUGUCCCAUUGUGCAACUCCAGGGGGGGCACCAUUCCCCAAGAAUACAACGUAGUGGUGCCCCUGGCCAUGUGGCCGUGUUCUCUGCACGGGGGAGAGAGGUAACAGGGCCUGGUCCUGCAGGAGGAGCUCUCCUGGAGGAGAAAACCACAUUGUCUGGGCAGGUGGGGGAGGCACUCUCUUCUUCACAGGCCCUCCCUACCCGGCCACCAAAAGGCCAAGGCAUCUGGAGUGCUCCCAGAUCCAGACCACACAGUGGGUAGGACGGAGGCCCCAUGGGGACAGGCUGGAUGCUUAAUUCCAAGAGGAAAGGAUACCUAUAUAGGCGGGUAAGACUGAGAGAGAUGGUAACAGAGACCCAGGAGUGGAGAAAGAGAGCAAAGAAGAAGAAAAGAGUCACACACUCCAGUCACUGAACACUCACCCCUGCCAGAGCCGGCUGACCCCUCCCUGCACAACCCAGACAAAACCUCCUGGGCCCAGGGUCUCAGCCUCAGGCUUCGGGCAGCAGCUUGCCGUCUGUGUGGCACAGGCCGGGCCUCUGACAGCUCAGCUCAGGGCUGUGCCUGAGACCUGGCUCCUUCCCAGGGUGGAGGCAGGUGGGAGGCUCUGAAACCCCACUCCAGCCCACUGGGCUUGGAUUCUGAGGGACAGCGCCUGCCCGUGCUGCCAGAUGUUGUCCGGGGCAUAGAGCUGUCAUUCUGGCUCAGGGUUCUCCAGGCCCCCAGGGUCAGAUGGGAAGACCCCAGCGCGGAGUUCGCUGCUGUGGCAGCCCUUGUGCCCACGCGCCUGGGAAAACAGGUUUCUCAGGACGGGAGGAAGGGCUGGGCUGACACUUGAAACUUCGUCGUUGUUUGGAGCCUAGUAGAAGGUCUUGGCAUCAGGCCACAGCUCAUGCAUAAGUGUGACUGGCACAUGCGCACACCCACACAUGUGUGCACACACAUGACCAGCAGCUUGUCUAGGAAAGACUGUGGAGCAGAGAUGAAUAUACAGGAUUUGGAGGGCAAUAAGCCCAGGCUCACUGAGGCUGCUCUUCCCGGGAGCAGGUGGACGGGGCGAGCAUGUCACAUUCUCAGUCCCCUUUUUCUCUUCUACAAAAUG